UGUGAUGCCCUUAGAUGUUCUGGGCCGCACGCGCGCUACACUGAAGGGAUAAGCGUGUUUUUCCUGCUCCGAAAGGAGUGGGUAACCCGCUUGAAACCCCUUCGUGAUUGGGAUCGGGGCUUGAAAUUAUUCUCCGUGAACGAGGAAUUCCUAGUAAGCGCGAGUCACUAGCUUGCGUUGAUUACGUCCCUGCCCUUUGUACACACCGCCCGUCGCUACUACCGAUUGAAUGGUUUAGUGAGAUCUUCGGAUUGGUCCGGGGGUGGCUUCGGUCGUCUCUAGGUACUGAGAAGAUGAUCAAACUUGAUCAUUAGAGGAAGUAAAAG
rnacentral:rRNA from 1 species